GACGAACGCUGGCGGCGUGCCUAAUACAUGCAAGUAGGACGCAGUUGCGAACGGGUGAGUAACGCGUAGGUAACUGCCUAUUAGAGGGGGAUAACUAUUGGAAACGCUAGCUAAUACCGCAUACUAGUAGAUGGACCUGCGUUGUAUUAGCUAGUAGGUAGGGUAAUGGCCUACCUAGGCGACGAUACAUAGCCGACCUGAGAGGGUGAUCGGCCACACUGGGACUGAGACACGGCCCAGACUCCUACGGGAGGCAGCAGUAGGGAGUCUGCGGCAAUGGGCGGAACGCUGACCGAGCAACGCCGCAUGAGUGAAGAAAGUUUUCGGAUCGUAAAGCUCUGUUGUUAAGGAAGCGGUAAUUAACCAGAAAGGGACGGCUAACUACAUGCCAGCAGCCGCGGUAAGUC
rnacentral:rRNA from 1 species